rnacentral:lncRNA from 1 species
AUGGAACCAUGAUGAUUAGUUAUGUAAAAAUAAUUAUAUAUUAAAAAUUCUAAGUUAUUUAAAGACUGAAUAAAUAAAAAUUACUUGAAUAACUUAAAAAAAUAUACAAAAGAAAAUACCCGAAACAUCUAAAAAAUAUCUUAAAUAACUGAACAAAUAAACAAAACAGAAAUGAAGCAAAAAAAAUACUGAAAAAUACCCAAAAUACUUGAAAAUGUUUUUGAUUGUUCUGGUAUUUUAGAAACAUAACAUGAACCUACCCAAACC